rnacentral:lncRNA from 1 species
AAUUUCAACAUGAUGACUAUAAACAAAAAGGAGUCAUAUCAUCACGAUCAUUGAUGCACAAGAACUUGAUCAUAUAAAUACAACAAUGUAAUUAUCAAUUGAAAGAUGGAACGAAUGAACAAAAUAUUAGAAUGUUGUUGUCCAAAUAAACUUGCUUUGUCUUCUCAUUUGAAUCUCUCCAUUCAAUAAAGAUGUACAGAGGAAGAUCUUUGAAGAACAGAUUGAAAAAAUGUUUUGUCUAAGAAUUGCAGGA